CUACGGGACGCAGCAGUGAGGAAUAUUGCACAAUGGGGGGAACCCUGAUGCAGCAACGCCGCGUGGAGGAUGACGCAUUUCGGUGUGUAAACUCCUUUUAUAUGUCAAGAAAAUGACGGUAGCAUAUGAAUAAGCACCGGCUAACUCCGUGCCAGCAGCCGCGGUAAUACGGAGGGUGCAAGCGUUACUCGGAAUCACUGGGCGUAAAGGACGCGUAGGCGGGUUGGAAAGUCAGGUGUGAAAUCCUACAGCUUAACUGUAGAACUGCGCUUGAAACUUCUAAUCUAGAGUAUGGGAGGGGGAGAUGGAAUUAGUGGUGUAGGGGUAAAAUCCGUAGAUAUCACUAGGAAUACCUAAAGCGAAGGCGAUCUCCUGGAACAUUACUGACGCUAAGGCGUGAAAGCGUGGGGAGCAAACAGGAUUAGAUACUCGAGUAGUC
rnacentral:rRNA from 1 species